UACGGAGGGGGCUAGCGUUGUUCGGAAUUACUGGGCGUAAAGCGCGCGUAGGCGGUUCGGCAAGUCGGAUGUGAAAAUCUCCACGCUUAACGUGGAGGGGCCAUUCGAAACUGCUGUGACUCGAGUCCGGUAGGGGAGUGUGGAAUUCCUGGUGUAGCGGUGAAAUGCGUAGAUAUCAGGAGGAACACCUGUGGUGUAGACGGCUUUCUGGACCAUAGCUGACGGCUGAGACACGAAAGCGUGGGUAGCAAACAGG
rnacentral:rRNA from 1 species